rnacentral:rRNA from 1 species
UACGGAGGAUCCGAGCGUUAUCCGGAAUUAUUGGGUUUAAAGGGUGCGUAGGCGGCCAUUUAAGUCAGCGGUGAAAUUUUGCAGCUUAACUGUAACAGUGCCGUUGAUACUGUUUGGCUAGGAUUUGGUUGCUGUGGGUGGAAUGUGUGGUGUAGUGGUGAAAUGCUUAGAGAUCACACAGAAUAUCGAUUGCGAAGGCAGCUCACAAAGCCAAGAUUGACGCUGAGGCACGAAAGUGUGGGGAUCAAACAGGAUUA